rnacentral:piRNA from 1 species
UGAGAAUUAAAUAAAUCAGUGCCUGCAAAGU